CCAAUCUUGUUAAGUCAAUUGCACUGUUGUCCUCUCCUGCAAGCCCUGCAGAUGGGUCGCUUCCUGGUACGUGCAGGCUGGGAAGUGCUGUAGAAAGGCUGUCUGUAGCCCAUUUUACUUUGUUGUUCAGAAUUUGGGUCCAGGUCUGUACAGGGAGGACUUAAAAAGGAAGAGAAACUUUAUCACUUGUUAUGGGAAACUUUUCUAUCAAUUUAAUGUAGUUAAACUUCUUUUUAACAAAGACUGUUAAAGCUGGACUUCUCAGAGAGGUGCACCGGGCUCCAGAGCAGACAGAAGAUGGAGUAAUUCCUGGGAAAGUGUUUUCCACCUACAUGGACUUUGCUGUCGUCCCAUCUGCCAAACGUUUGAUCGCACUGACACCUGGUGGCUGCUGAAGAGUUGGAAACAAGAAAUUGAAAAAGGACUUUCUUCCCUUAUCUAUGGAAAUUUGUUUCCUGUGACUCGCCCAGAACGGUCACCUGCUUUACUCGCAGGGGCUGCUGGAAUUGCUUGUGAGCAGAGGGGCUGACACUGAGCAUGGAUGGGAUGAUUUGUGCAAGGAUGUCACUGUCUGCAAAGUGAUGAGAUGAGACGUUCUCCUGUGUCACCAGCCUGCAGAUUGCUUCCAGAUCUUGCUGAGAUGUCCUGAAUAGGGUCUGUAAAGAAGUGUGCAGAACCACACGUGCUGAGCCUUUGACUCCUGCAAGCCUGCCUCAUGGUGUGUCAGGUGUAGAGAGACAGAGCUGCCUGCUAACUGCUGAGCUGCACUAUCUGUAACGCGGGCUGCCAGCAUUCUACCUAUCACCUCGGGGCAGAGCGAGCAGUGUGAAAUAGACACAGCAGUGUGUGGAUGAUUGCUCCAUGACCUUGAAGCAGCACAGCAGCAUCCCACCACGGCUGGUGCCCUCUGCAGCUCCUCGGUUGCCAGUCCUUUGCAGGGGCCUCGGAGCAGCUCAGCCCUUCACCUGCUGCCUUCACCCUGCUGGCAGCCCAUCUGUGAGCCCAGCCCAGCCACCUUCUCGCAGCCCUCCUUCCUGCUGGACCCCCAGCUGGCCGCCAGCCCUGGCCACUACUUGGGCAGUACAAACACUUGUGUCUGGCCCUGCAAGCGCCGAGGCCGUGGUUUUGGUUUCUUUGCAAUAAAACGCACCUCUGUGGUGUCUGACC
ensembl:lncRNA